rnacentral:rRNA from 1 species
UACGAAGGGGGCUAGCGUUGCUUCGGAAUCACUAGGGCGUAAAGCGCACGUAGGCGGAUUGCUAAGUCAGGGGUGAAAUCCUGGAGCUCAACUCCAGAACUGCCUUUGAUACUGGCGAGCUUGAGUUCGGGAGAGGUGAGUGGAACUGCGAGUGUAGAGGUGAAAUUCGUAGAUAUUCGCAAAGAACACCAGUGGCGAAGGGCGGCUCACUGGCCCGAUACUGACGCUGAGGUGGCGAAAAGCGUGGGGAGCAAACAGG